GCCUUUGUAGUCUAGUGGUUAUGAUGUCUGCUUUACACGCAGAAGGUCCCCAGUUCAAUCCUGGGCAGAGGCA
rfam:Hyphopichia burtonii NRRL Y-1933 unplaced genomic scaffold HYPBTscaffold_1, whole genome shotgun sequence.